AACGCACGCCCGCUUGCACUCACACUGCGGUUCACACCCGCAGGCGCGCUCGCACCCACACUGCCGCUCACGCGCGCUCACACUACCCCACGCGCGCUCCACUCCCGCUCCAGCCCCGCGCCCCGCGAAGGCGCAGGCACUGCCGCCGAGAGCGCCGAGGGGCCCCGCGGCCUUCCCAUGGCGGACCUGAGCUUCAUCGAAGAUACCGUCGCCUUCCCCGAGAAGGAAGAGGAUGAGGAGGAAGAAGAUGAGGGUGUGGAGUGGGGCUACGAGGAAGGUGUUGAGUGGGGUCUGGUGUUUCCUGAUGCUAAUGGGGAAUACCAGUCUCCUAUAAACCUAAACUCAAGAGAGGCUAGGUAUGACCCCUCGCUGUUGGAUGUCCGCCUCUCCCCAAAUUAUGUGGUGUGCCGAGACUGUGAAGUCACCAAUGAUGGACAUACCAUUCAGGUUAUCCUGAAGUCAAAAUCAGUUCUUUCGGGAGGACCAUUGCCUCAAGGACAUGAAUUUGAACUGUACGAAGUGAGAUUUCACUGGGGAAGAGAAAACCAGCGUGGUUCUGAGCACACGGUUAAUUUCAAAGCUUUUCCCAUGGAGGUAAGAAUAACAAAUCAUCUUGUAAAAAUCUUGUUUUCUGAAUAAAGUAUUCAGCAAUUUACUGAAAAUGAUUUAGUUUAAAAGUAGAUGCGUAGUUCUUGAAUUUUAUCAGUUUAUACUAAAAUUUAAAAAAUGCUUAAUGCAACGGAAGCCUAGAGCAGCACAUGAAACCUCCCGUCUACUCUCGUGGCUGGGCGUGUGCACAUGAGCGCGUGGCCAGAAAGGCAAUCUACAGUAUUAAAUUUCACCCUAGUGUUACUAUUCUUGUAAAAAUUCUGCCUCUGCAAAUUCAGUAGGUCAUUUUUGUGGAUGCUUUGGAUAGGUGACUAGCUGAAGACAAACAACCGCUGGAGAAACCUCAACAGUAAUGAAAAGUGUAGGUUUGCUAGUUUAAAAUUGGUGGGUUGGUUUUAUUCAGCCCAAGCCACUUGGGCAGGGAGGGAGAAAGAGAGAUUUUUUGAGAGUAAUUCUUUUGUCCAAAGAAUUCCCUCCCCGACUUACGUUCUUAGUUAACUUCUGCUGUUUCUUUGAUACCCAGUUGAAAUCUCAUGUCUUCUGUGGGACUUUUCUUUAGUUUUUUCCCUAGGCAGAAUUCAUCUCUGUCUCUCUGCUCCCUGUAUGCUUGAUAGGGCACUGCCACGGCGCUGGCCCCACGGGUUGUACCAUUUAGUCUCCACAGCGUCUUUCUUGCUGCCUGUGAGCUCCUGAGGACCGAAGCUCCCUCUCGCCCCCUUUUUACUCCCAUCAUUUGCCCACUGCCAGGCACAGUGGAGGCAGACAGUCCACACUGGUGAAAGUGAGGGGAUGUUGGAUUCAGUCCAGGUCUUGAUGAUAUUUCUAGAAGGAACCUCAGUUUACCCCAGAAAAUAGCCCUUUGGUGUCAUGUAAGAGUAUGUUCUGGGGGCUGGUCUUCCAGUCUUUUUUUUGACAUUCACAACUGUGCAUGUGUUUAAUAUUAAAUAUAAAAUUGCUCUUGACCAGAUACAAUAUCCAGUACCACUUCAGUGGCUGGAAAUCAUGGCUGUAUAAUUUUAUGUCAGUGAUACAUGUAUUUUAGAGGAUUCUGUUGAAAUGUUUGACAGCAUUACUGUAAUUAUAA
rnacentral:sRNA from 1 species